AUCUCAUGGUUGGGACAUUGCAUAAGCUUUCCAUUAAAUCUCUCCCAUGCCUCAUAUAGAGUCUCUCCAUCCAAUUGAUAAAAGUUCUUAAUUUCAUCACGCAAUU
rfam:Capsicum annuum cultivar Zunla-1 chromosome 1, whole genome shotgun sequence